UGAUAUCUAGUAGAUACCAGUGACUGAGAUUAACUCCAGCCUGGGCUCUCCAACAAUUAGACAUAAUCUAAAAUUUAACCCUAAGCAACAACAAAUCUGGUUUCCACAUGGGUUUUAUGCCAAUUUUAACUGCUAAUAUCUUUUUUUUUUUUUUUUUUGCUGGCAUAUUUCUUCUGCCUGAUCCUGGCACAGCGACUGACCGUGGCCUCUCUCCCUUCUUGCAGUGCACAACUUUCAUCACUGUGGUGCUGGUGAAGGCGGAGCAGAUCCUCGCCUUCAGUCCCCAGCAGGCCACAGCGUGAGCAUCAUGGCAGCUGAGCAGGCAUGGAUGUGUCCCAUCUGCCGUGAUGAGCGGAAGGACGUGGCCUAUGCGGUACCUUGCUGCCACCAGUUCUGCCUGGGCUGCAUCCUGCGGUGGGCCAAGCAGAACAACAGCUGCCCGCUCUGCAGGACGGUCAUGACUGUCAUCAAGGUUGCUGAGUGGGACGACGACAAUGACCUGGAUUUCAUUAUCAGGCCCCCAGCACAGCCUGUACCCGCCUGCUUCCAGGCAGGCAUUGCUCCUGGCUACAGCCCCCACAACUCUUUACCACCUCCUUCGCUGUCCCCUCUGCCAUCCUCUCUGCCCUUUCUGCUACUGCCAGAGGAGCAGGAGAGUGAGGAGGCAGAAGAGCAGGAUGCUCAGGAGGCAGGUGAAGAGGGGGCUGAGGAAGCAGAGGAGCAGUGGGUGGAGGAGGAGGAGGAGCAGUGGGCAGAUGAGGCAGAGGAGCAGCAGGCUGAGGAGUCAGAUGAAGAGGAGGCAGAGGACACAGAGCAGCUGCAAGCUGACGAAGCAGACAAACGGGAGGCUGAGGAAGAAGAGGAGCUGCAGGCUGAGGAGGCAGAAGAUGAGCCUACAGUGGGAGGUCUCCUGCCUGAGGUCUGGGCAGCUCUGUUCAGGCAGCACCAGCAGAUCCUGGACCCUGUGCUGCCCUGGCUGCGGCAAGCACUGACACUCAUCUUUGGGGCACAGUGGUGGCCGACGCUGUCAACCGAGAGCAUCAUCCUGAAUGCUCUGUGCAACAUCGGGCUGGACGGCGAGGCCCUGGUCCAGGAGGUGUUGCCUGUCCUGGAGGACAGAGCAGAGGCACUCAUCCAGGGACUCAUCGACACCGUUGUGUGCCACUGCGGUGAGGAGGCCCUUAGGCAGCUGGGCCUCCAAGGUGCCACCGUGUCCAGGGAGCAGCAGGACAGCCCUGUGGCCGCUCCUCGCCCCGCAGCCUCCCUACAAGCCACCCUCACCUCACGGCCCGCAAGUCCCAGCGCGCAGGACCUGCCCA
rnacentral:lncRNA from 1 species